rnacentral:rRNA from 1 species
UUUAUCGGGUGAUGGAUGGGGAUGCGUCUGAUUAGGCUUGUUGGCGGGGUAACGGCCCACCAAGGCAACGAUCAGUAGGGGUUCUGAGAGGAAGGUCCCCCACAUUGGAACUGAGACACGGUCCAAACUCCUACGGGAGGCAGCAGUGAGGAAUAUUGGUCAAUGGGCGAGAGCCUGAACCAGCCAAGUAGCGUGCAGGACGACGGCCCUAUGGGUUGUAAACUGCUUUUAUAAGGGAAUAAAGUGGGUCACGUGUGACUUUUGCAUGUACCUUAUGAAUAAGGACCGGCUAAUUCCGUG